rnacentral:rRNA from 1 species
GGCAAGCGUUGUCCGGAAUCAUUGGGCGUAAAGCGCGUGGAGGCGGCCAGAAAAGUCCGCUGUGAAAACUCGCGGCUCAACUUCGAGCUGUCGGUGGAAACUUUCUGGCUAGAGUCCGGAAGAGGAGAAUGGAAUUCCUGGUGUAGCGGUGAAAUGCGCAGAUAUCAGGAAGAACACCCGUGGCGAAGGCGGUUCUCUGGGCCUUACCUGACGCUGAGGAGCGAAAGCGUGGGUAGCGAACAGG